UACACACCGCCCGUCACAUGACCCGAGUCGGGUGCACCCGAAGUCGCUGGCCCAACCGCAAGGAGGGAGGCGCCGAAGGUGUGCUUGGUGAGGGGAUG
rnacentral:rRNA from 1 species